rnacentral:lncRNA from 1 species
UAUAUAUAUAUAUAUUUUUACCUUUCCUUUCUUACUUUCAAAAUUUUAUAUUUUACUCCUUCAACAUUUCAGGUUAUUGCAUUUAGUUCUCCUUCUCAGGGCUCCAUUAUUACUCCGUCAAUUUUUUAUAAUUUAUACCGAAAGUAUUCUUCAAAAUUACAGAAAUAUAUUAAAAAACUAUUUUGUAUAAAAAAAUAAAAAUAAUUUGAUCAUUUUGUUCUUUUCAUUAAUGUUAUAUUCUUCUAAAAAUACC